rnacentral:rRNA from 1 species
GUGCCAGCAGCCGCGGUAAUACGUAGGUGGCGAGCGUUGUCCGGAAUUAUUGGGCGUAAAGGGAGCGCAGGCGGUCUAAUAAGUCUGCUGUGAAAGCCCUCAGCUUAACUGAGGAAGUGCAGUGGAAACUACAAAACUUGAGUACUAGAGAGGGCAGUGGAACUCCAUGUGUAGCGGUGAAAUGCGUAGAUAUAUGGAAGAACAUCAGUGGCGAAGGCGGCUGUCUGGCUAGUAACUGACGCUGAGGCUCGAAAGCGUGGGGAGCGAACAGGAUUAGAUACCCUGGUAGUCCACGCCGUAAACGAUGACAAUUAGCUGUUGGGGUACUAGAUGCCUUAGUAGCGAAGCUAACGCGUGAAAUUGUCCGCCUGGGGAGUACGGUCGCAAGAUUAAAACUCAAAGGAAUUGACGGGGACCCGCACAAGCGGUGGAUGAUGUGGAUUAA